AAUAUUGGACAAUGGGCGCAAGCCUGAUCCAGCCAUGCCGCGUGAGUGAUGAAGGCCCUAGGGUUGUAAAGCUCUUUCACCGGUGAAGAUAAUGACGGUAACCGGAGAAGAAGCCCCGGCUAACUUCGUGCCAGCAGCCGCGGUAA
rnacentral:rRNA from 1 species